ensembl:lncRNA
GGGCAGGUGCGGGCAGAGCUUGGUGCCUGCGGAGGCCGGGCGACGUCGAGGGCCUGCGUGGAGGGAGCCGGUGAGGGCACCGCGUUCAGGCCGCGGUAAUUACCGCCGCCCUUUUUACGUUUGCGGGGGUUGGGGGGGUACGGUGUUUUGGCCGCCUACGGUGCAAAUGCUUGAAGGGGUAACAGAUUAGUUUAAGCUUACUCCCCUGUUUUGGCGAAGGCUGUGUCUGUCUGCUGUGAGAACUUCAGAGUUUGCUCCCGCAGAAUAAGGGUCUGCCACAACCCCGGCUCGCGGCCGCACGAGCACCGAGCUUCCCCGCCCGAGGCAGAAGAGCUGUUGGCGCUGCUUAGCAUAAAACAAUAGGAAUUUCCAGAGUCCUGAUUAAAUUACUGGCGUCUGUUUCCCUUACGUUGGCCAACAGAAAGCGUUUCAUUAUGAAGGCACCCCCCUCUCUGUGCAUAGCUGAAGCAAAAGCCAGAGUUUUGAUUUUAGUGAAGGCUGAAGCCUACUUAUUUUGUCAAGAAGUUGUAAGCGUGAUCGCUGCACUCCUGCCUUCCUUGCAAAGGACACCCCGGAGAGAGCAACAAAUAGAAAAAAAAGAGAGCUUCCCAGCACGAGGAACCCUGGGAUACUUAUCUGCGUGCUUGACCCAGUGCAAAAAUACUGACAGCCAGGCUGUGUUUUGGCCUCAGCAUGGCUCCUGGCUGCCUGGUCUGGGCUAUUUCAGUCUGCGAGGGUACUCUGCAAAGCGGAGAAAAGAAGCCAAGGAUGAAAAGGGAAAUGACUGGUCUACUGUUGCAUUGGGAGGCUGUGCUAGGACACAGAAGAUUCAGAAGGACUUUGUGUUGUACUGGAAUCACCCCGAGCCAAGGAGCGUGGCAGACAUUUGCUUCAUUUGGUGUCCAAGAUCCAGCAGCUUGGCAUGGUGUAAUAUGAGAAUAGGCAUAAAUAGAAAACCAGUUUCAAAUGGCUCAUGCCAGUGCACGUGGGACUGUGUUGACUACAGACAGCGUGUUGUGUGGAUUGCACAGAUAAGCAUAUUCCUUGCUAUACCAUCAUUGAGUGCAUAA